GUCCCUGUAGCGCAAUGGAAAGCGCAUUAGACUUCUAAUCCAAAGGUAAUGGGUUUGAGUCCCAUCUGGGGUU